CGGUCCAGCUAGUUAGUGUCUGAGUUUAGUGAAUGUAGAAGCUUGGAGUGAGUGAGAAGUGGAUCCGUGUUUCAUGUUUUUUUAUUCUUGAAUUAUCCAUUAAUAUAUAAGACGAAAGGAAAGAAUCUAUUUGGAUUUAAUUUUUACGUAGGACAACACAAACAUGGGGUGGUAAACAUGUGGGAGUGACUAUCUGUGGAUUUUAAAAGUAUUUAUUUAUUUAUUCUUUAUUUUAUUUUCGUUAGUGGACUCGUUUAAGUUACCGUGGGAAAGCCGCGGCACACGCUGGCCUGAAAGAUGGACCAGGCGAAUAUCCUGAGGAAGUUCAUUCAAGGGGUUCAUACCAUGCGAACCGGGGACCAGAGAGGAGAGGAUAACUUCGGCAGUGACUUCAUGAGAUUACGAAGACUAUCGACCAAGUACAGAACAGAGAAAAUCUAUCCUACAAACGUUGGAGAAAAAGAAGAGAAUGUGAAAAAGAACAGAUAUAAAGACAUAUUGCCAUUUGACCACAGCAGGGUAAAGGUGUCGUUAAAGACCUCCAAUCAGGACACGGAUUACAUCAAUGCAAAUUUCAUCAAGGGAAUCGAUGGGCCCGAGGCCUACAUCGCCACGCAGGGGCCCCUCCCCAACACCGUCAUCGACUUCUGGAGGAUGAACUGGGAGUAUCACGUAGCGGUCAUCGUGAUGGCGUGUCGAGAGUUUGAGAUGGGAAGGAAAAAGUGUGAGCGGUACUUCCCCCUGUUCGGCGACGAGCCGCUGUCCUUCGGGCCGUUCCGGAUCUCCUGCGAAUCGGAACAGGCCAGGACGGACUUCUUCAUCAGAACACUGACCGUGGAGUAUCAGGAUGAGACGCGCAGAAUAACGCAGUUUCACUACAUGAACUGGCCCGACCACGACGUGCCCUCCUCCUUCGAUUCCAUCCUGGACAUGAUCAGCCUCAUGAGGGAGUACCAGGAACACGACGACGUACCGAUCUGUAUACACUGCAGUGCGGGCUGUGGGCGGACCGGGGCCAUCUGUGCCAUCGACUACACGUGGAACCUGCUGAAGGCUGGGAAGAUUCCAGAAGACUUCAACGUGUUCCGGCUGAUUCAGGAGAUGAGGACGCAGAGGCAUUCGGCUGUGCAGACCAAGGAGCAGUAUGAGCUGGUGCACAGGGCCAUCGCUCAGCUCUUUGAGAAGCAGCUGCAGCACCUCGAGAGCCCCACCAACUCCGAGAUCGCUGAUAACAUGGAUGAAGGAAGCCCGGAGAAAGCCGACCAAACCUCAGACGAGGAGAGAUGGGACACGCCUCCCCCCAAACCGCCCCGGGUCCGCAGCGGUUGUCAGGUUGAAGGAGACGUAAAGGAGGAGAUCCUGCAGCCCCCGGAGCCCCGCCCGGUCCCGCCCAUCCUCACCCCGUCCCCGCCCUCCGCCUUCCCCACGGUGACCAACGUGCGGCAGGACAACGACCGCUACCACCCCAAGCCCGUGCUGCACGUGAUGGCGUCGGGCCAGAACCCCGACCUCAACGAGAACUACAACAAGGCCCCGCCCGAGGGCGGGACCGGGGGCACGGGGACCUCCCCCUGCCCCUCCCCCGGCGAGGGCCUGGAGAAGAAGCUGGAGCGCAAGCUGAGCAUCGAGAUCAAGAAGGUGCCCCUGCAGGAGGGCCCGCGCAGCUUCGAGAGCAGCAACGCGCUGCACCGCAGCCACGCCUUCAAGGCCAAGCCGCACGCCGCCGGCUCCGCCCCCGCCGGCGAGGACUCGCGGGCCGACUGCCCCGCCCAGCCCGAGGGCGAGGAGGCGCCCCCCCGGCCCAACCACCUGCCCCUGCGGGACAAGGGCCAGGCGCCCUGGUCCCUCGCCGGCUCGCAGAAGUCCCGCUCUCCCUCGCCGGGCUCCGCCCUCGGCCCCGCCCCCAGGACUGCGCUCUGCUUCACCAACCCGCUGCACUCGGAGAACUCCGACUCGGAGGGCGAGGGCCGCGGACCGCCCUCGGGGGCCGCCUGGGACCCCAGCCGCGCGAGCAGCGUCUCCACCGCCAGCGGCACCGUGCUGGCGCCCUACCCCGGUGAGCCCCACCCCGCCAGGAAGGUCUCCUCCAUGUCCAUCGCCGGUCGGUCCUCCCCUCUGGACACGGCACCAAACUGUGACGAGACUGAAGAUUCCCCUCCCCCUCUGCCCGUGAGAACCCCAGAGUCGUUCUGUCUGGCCUCAGAAGACUCUUCGGAUCAGAAGGCCUCGGGGUCGGGGAGUUCAGCGGAUUGGAGCGGCUCUCCGGACUGCCUGGGAACGGGGGCGGAGUCUCCCCAGGGUGCGACGCCCCCCAGGAGCGCUGAGAAUGAUGACCCAGGAGAUGGAGAGAACAGGAAGAAGGCCCCCGCCCCAGGGGAAGACGGGAACACUGCCAAUGCACGACCGGACACCGCGGACGACGCCGAGGGUGCCUCAGAGCUAGGUGAGCUCCUCUCCGGGGCUGCUGAAGGGGCCUUUCCUCUCUGAGGCUCUCUGCCAGGGCCUUCUCAUAUGCAAGGGCAGAGACUGAGGAGAAUGUUUCUGAAGGAUUCAGCAAGCGCUGCACGAAGCCCAAAGGUCCCCGGGACCCCCCAACGAAAUGGACAUGAUAGCUACAGACCGCACCCCCCCCCCCCAACCGCCCUACAGACCUGGAGAAGGCGUCCCUUUCCUUAAAGUGCCACUGUAUAUGGAGGAAUAGACUGUACUCUUCACCCUUUCAAACACAGCCCCCCCUUUCCGACUAACACAAUCUUUUAAAGCAAUGUAGAUAAUCUCCAUCAUGCAAUGGUACACACUCUACUGUAUUUGUACUUUUUGCCAGGGGUUCUGUAUUCUGGUGCUAAUUACUCUCUUUGCUGGGACCAUUAACCUGCCUUAGUCUCUUAAAGGAUUACUGAUGGGUUUUUUUAAACUCAAGAGAAACGGCUUUUCUUCCUCUGCUGCAGUACUUUUAGACUUGUAUCAUUACAAUACAGUAAGACACGUAUUAAUAGGGGCAGUGGACUACUGUUUUUAUUUUAUUUUUUUUGUUUGUUUUUUUUUUCUCCUCUAACUUCUCGAUAGCUAUAUAUGCAGUGUUUUAUUAAUGUACAGGGCAAGUAGGUAUAUAAUUUGACAAAUUUGCUGUCGCUAAGUAUUCGUAUUAACAGAAGAUGUAAGAAGUUUCUGCAUGAUCCGACACCCUUGUGUAACUUCCAUUGUAAAUUAUUUGCCCUCCUGUUUCUAGAUAAUAUUUCAGGGUUUUUUUUAAUUAUUAUUUUAUUUGAUUUUUUUUUUCCUUUUUGAAAAAAAAAAGAAACAAAGCAAAAAGACAAAAUGGCUGGAACCGCAGUCACCAGCCGCUGAAAUGGCACGGGCUCAAGAUUGUAAUAAUACUUUUUUGUAAAUUUUAUUGUAAAGGUUAUUUUUCUAUGAUAUGCUGUUUUAUUCCUGGCCCAUACUCGGCUGUACCUCUCGCCUUGGAGCCUGCCUGUGCCUUUUGGAGAAUCUGCCCCUCGUUCCAGCUCGCACGCGCACACACCACCGCGGCCGAGCCUCCGGAACCUCUCUCAACAAACCCUACCACACAGACCUGUUUGUAUGUUACAGAAAUCAAUCGACUUGUCAGUAAAAGAAAAAGAAAAACA